GCCCGGGUAGCUCAAUCGGUAGAGCGUGUGGCUCUUAUGCUGAAGCAAAAAUGAUAAUAACCUCAAGGUCGCGGGUUCGAGCCCCGCCUCGGGCU
rnacentral:tRNA from 1 species